UAUCGUGAGAAGAGGCCAGGAGGAGCUUUCCCCUCAAAACCCUAACAUCCUAAAAUCCAUCAAAUUGAAAGGGAAAUCAAAGAUUAAUUGAAUGCAUGAGCCAGGAACUUUGAUUAUCUAAGUGUUCUUGACAUCAAGCGCGAAGAAGGUACGAGUCACUUGUAGUCGCAAGCGUCACAAGAUCAUGGUAAAUCUCAUGCUUAGAAUGGCGAGCUCGAAUUCGAACACACCACAUCGUCCAUAUAUGCGCUUCCGGUUCAAGUUAUCUUUUGAAAUAGGUCAAAUAAUUUUUGUAAUGUAAAUGUAAAUUUUAUGUUUUAGGAUGUUCGUAAGUAGUUUGAAUUUUAAAACCUUUUUGGAUAGUUCGGACAUAACCCUUGUAUUAGGUCUUGCAUGGUCACUACUUUUAUUUCUUUUGAAAAAAGUGUCGUAGAAGUUUAUUUGAUUGAUGUUUG